UACGUAGGGUGCAAGCGUUAAUCGGAAUUACUGGGCGUAAAGCGUGCGCAGGCGGCUUUGCAAGACAGAUGUGAAAUCCCCGGGCUUAACCUGGGAACUGCAUUGGUGACUGGCGGGCUAGAGUAUGGCAGAGGGGGGGUAGAAUUCCGACGUGUAGCAGUGAAAUGCGUAGAGAUGUGGAGGAAUACCGAUGGCGAAGGCAGCCCCCUGGGCCAAUACUGACGCUCAUGCACGAAAGCGUGGGGAGCAAACAGG
rnacentral:rRNA from 1 species